rnacentral:rRNA from 1 species
GCCCGAUCGUGGGGGAUAACUACUCGAAAGAGUGGCUAAUACCGCAUACGAUCUACGGAUGAAAGCGGGGGAUCGCAAGACCUCGCGCGGACGGAGCGGCCGAUGGCAGAUUAGGUAGUUGGUGGGAUAAAAGCUUACCAAGCCGACGAUCUGUAGCUGGUCUGAGAGGACGACCAGCCACACUGGGACUGAGACACGGCCCAGACUCCUACGGGAGGCAGCAGUGGGGAAUUUUGGACAAUGGGGGAAACCCUGAUCCAGCCAUGCCGCGUGCAGGAUGAAGGCCUUCGGGUUGUAAACUGCUUUUGUACGGAACGAAAAGACUCUUUCUAAUACAGAGGGUCCAUGACGGUACCGUAAGAAUAAGCACCGGCUAACUACGUGCC